UGAGCAGCAGGAAGAAAGCUGGGAAGUUCAGACCCUGCCUGUAAGGAGGGUGCGGUGGACGGAUUAAGAACAACGCUGUGAAGGAAAAGCCUGGGUCUCGGUUUGCGGCGUGGGGAGCACCCGGCUUUGCAGAGCUGUGGCGCAGAGGUGGAGCGGAGCUUUUGUCAAUGUGUGUGUUUGAGAACACUGCUGCAGCUAGAACCAGAAAGGACCUGGUGAAUCAGCAAGGGGCUUCUUAUUCUGAGGAUGUGAACCUUCCUGGGGGAGUCCUGCUUCUGUCAGGCAUGACAUUCCAAAUACUUACAGAUGACAUCCCAGAAACCAGCGGCAAAGACCAGACCUCUGGUAGGAAGAGGCAUUAAGUCUUAAGAGGGUGAAGUAACUGGGCCGAGGCCAAGUGAGAUUGCUGCAUGUCCAUCUGACUCCACAGCCCUUUGGGUGAGGAGACUAAGAUCCAAGAAGGCUGAGCAAAAUGCCCAAAAUUACAGUCAACUAAGGCAGAACAGGGACUCCCAUUUGCUUUCUGCUGCCUUUCCAAUGACCUACAUCUGCCUACCAGUACCUUGACUAUGGGCUGGGGGAGAGGGAUCCAACCUACUUCCAGAGUUGAAGAGCAGAACUGUAGAGGAAUUGAAAAUAAGGAAUUCAGAGAAGGAAGGAGAAGAGGAUUUAAGAGGCUGACUGUGCAGAUUUGAUGGAGAUUCAUUCAGAGCAUUUUUUGGAGCUGGAAAUAUUCUCAGAAGUCAUCUAUCCUGUCGAUUCUGGCCCUCCCUUGUAAGGUGUGGCAAUCUCUGAGUCAGCUUGGACUGUGACCCAGGAAAUUGACCCGUAAGAGGUAGUUCUCACCCUUUCCCUUCCACCAUGUAGAAGUUUCCUGAAGCAGAUGCCAGCACCAUGCUUCUUAUACAGCUUGCAGAACUGUGAACUAAAUAAAUCUCUUUUCUUUAUAAAUUACCCAGCCUCAAGUAUGCCUUUAUAAUAGUGCAAAUGGACUAAGACAGAUAUGAAGCAGGCUUCCCAUGUCUCUCCUUUCUUGCUGCCCUGGUCCCUGGUCUUGGCUCCCCUUUGGAAUGAUCUUCUCUAAACAUUUCUUCUAAUCCUCCCCUCCCACCUCCACACUUCACGACUGCCAGAGCCACAGGUCCCUGGAGCCCUUGAGUGUCCCUGUGUGAGCAGCCAGUACUGUGCAGGAGAGGAGAACUCUGGUGGGAACACAGUGCAUAUCUGCAGCACAGCAGAAAGGUUACCAACUUGGAGAGGCUGGGCUUCAGCCAUCUAGAGAAAUGUGAAGGGGCAUUAGCCUUGCCUCCUCCGUUCCAGGGCCUCAGAGGUCAGGAGAAAGCAUAUCACCUCAAGCAGAACAUUCUGAACUACAGGCCUCCCUGGGCAUGAAGCCUCUGGCUACCCCAAGACAAGCCUGAGGGAGGCCAAAGGUUUUUACCCAUUGAUGUGAAUCCAUGGGUGCAGGUACUGGGUGGAGAGAAGGGGCAUUCCCGGCACAGAGAAUGGCAGAAGCAGGAAAGAGCAGGAUGUAUUUGGAGAAGUGGCUGGUGUGCAGAACACGAAGGGUGCUCUCAAGUAGAUGAGUCUACAGUGGUUGGCAGUGCCAGCUCACAAAGACUGAGCUUCUUGACAAAGCACUUGGAUUUAGAAGUAAAGGAACCACUGAAGAUGUUCUUUUCCUUAUAGAUUUAAAAAAUGUAAUAAAUUUUUAUUUAACUUUUUUAUUAUAUAUAUUUUUAGGUGUACAACAUAUUGUUUCCACACAGUAAAAUGGUUGCUAUAGUCAAACAAAUUGUUGUAUUCGUCAUCUCACACAACUGCCUCACCUUUUGUUUGGUGUAUGGCAACAGCACCUCAAAUCUAUUCUUUAAGUCAAAAUCCUGUACACAUUAUUAACUAUAGUUGUCACGCAGCAUGUUAGAUCUCUACCCUUGUUCAUCCUACAUGCCGAUACAUUUUUAUUUAGGAGUAGUUUUUAGAUUUACAGAAAGAUUACCAAGAUAGAACAGAAAAUCUCCAUUUCCCCUGUGAUACUGUGAUCUGGUUGGAAAUAUGUAUAGGCAUACCUUGGUUUAUUGCAUUUCACUUUGUUAUGCUCU